rnacentral:rRNA from 1 species
UACGUAGGGUGCAAGCGUUAUCCGGAAUUAUUGGGCGUAAAGAGCUCGUAGGCGGCUUGUCGCGUCGGAUGUGAAAGCCCGGGGCUUAACUCCGGGUCUGCAUUCGAUACGGGCAGGCUAGAGUUCGGUAGGGGAGAUCGGAAUUCCUGGUGUAGCGGUGAAAUGCGCAGAUAUCAGGAGGAACACCGGUGGCGAAGGCGGGUCUCUGGGCCGAUACUGACGCUGAGGAGCGAAAGCGUGGGGAGCGAACAGG